rnacentral:rRNA from 1 species
CUGUGGGCGCACGAAACUUGCGGAGGUUCUUCUUUAGUACGAGAGGAUUUAGAAGGACGUACCUCUGGUGUGCCAGUUGUCGCGCUAGCGGCACGGCUGGAUAGCUAUGUACGGAAAGGAUAAACGCUGAAAGCAUAUAAGCGUGAAGCCUUCUCCAAGAUGAGGUUUCGUAAGACCGAAAGGUCGAAAGCCCCCUGGAAGACUACCAGGUCGAUAGGCCGGAUGUGUAAGCACGGUAACGUGUUCAGCUAACCGGUACUAACGGGCGAAUGCUUGGCCACA